UCCCAUUGCUGAAAAUACGUACAUUACGAGUCUUAAAGGAUUACCUGGUAGCAAAAGAAUAAACAGUAGUUCAGCAACUAAAGCAACAUAAAAACAACAACAAAACAGCAGCAAAACCAGCAGCAAAUCCGUGUUAAAACAACCCGAAAACUUAGAGAGGGAACCCAGAAACGAACUCUAAAGAGGACUUAUACUUUUUUAAAAGUUUGCACUCUAAGAUUCACUCCCAAAGCUCACCAUUUCAGCUUACUUUUCAUGUGUUCAACUGUUGAUUUUUUUGUUUGUUUUUGUGACAAAGCAAUUAAAAAAAAAAUGCCCCCUGAAAGUGUGAUGGAGUCCCCUCUAUAUAUCAAAACAACCAGCUAUUUUAAAAAAUUAAAAAUCAAUCUUUUUGACAGAUUUUUCUACAAAAUCUCCUCUUAAAUUCAAAAAGCAAGACUUUCUAGUUCAAAUCUUGUCAAGUAUUUCAAACAAAAUCUGCUCUCCACUAUUCAAAGAUAGACUUUAUUCAAAUAAUGUCCAAAGGUCUACAUUUUCUUACCAAACAAUUUGACUUUUGAGUGUUGUACUCAAAAAGUCUUGAAGCAGUAAACAAACACCAAACAAUACCAUAUACUCUUAAGUAUUUUUCAUUACCUCACUUUUAUCAAUACAAAACUAUUUUACUACUUCAACAAGUGCAAAAAUAAAAAAUUUAACAUUUCAAACUUCAAAAACUAAUGCUAAAAUAAUUAAUAAUAGACAAAAAUAAAAUCUGAAAAUUAAAAAUAAAAAUAAAAAAUCAGUUAUGAAAAAGAAUAGUAUUUUACCAUUUUACACAUUAAAAGGCCGAAAAACUGGUGGUAUGUCAAAGAGGGUGUUCCGGGAGGUCGCCGGAAUUAGGCCGGAUUUUGAUCGCCGGAUUUUUGGGGUAAAAUUGACAUCAAUAGCUAGGUCUUGAGGAGCUCUAUCCAUUGAUGUAGGUAUUUUGGGGUGGUAGUGGUUGGAGCUUCAAGAAUUUGGGCAAAAAAAGUGACGGAAAAAUUUCCUAGAUCUAAAAUUCAAGGAGUUUGAGAGAUUUUUUCAGGAUUUCGUUCGGAGAUAUGGAAAGAGGAAGUUGUGGAGAUUACGUAGUGUGAAUUUGGAGGUGUUUGGAGGUGGUCCGCCGACGGCGGCAAUUUCCGGCAGGCGGCGGUGGGCGGAGCUGGGGCGGCGUAGAGAGAGUGAAGAGAGAGAGAAGAAGGAGAGGGAAAGAAGAGAGAGGAAAUAAGGGGGAAAUGGGGAAAUUUUUUGGGGAUUUUAGGCUUUAAAUACCUUGGAUGAAGAUCAAACUAGGACCGUUGGAGUAAAUCAAGAUGGGUGGAUGAGAUUGAAUCUUGUC
rnacentral:lncRNA from 1 species